UGUCCUACGGGGGGCAGCAGUGGGGGAUAUUGCACAAUGGGGGAAGCCCUGAUGCAGCGACGCCGCGUGGACGAAGAAGUAUUUCGGUAUGUAAAGUCCUAUCAGCAGGGAAGAAGAAAUGACGGUACCUGACUAAGAAGCCCCGGCUAACUACGUGCCAGCAGCCGCGGUAAUACGUAGGGGGCAAGCGUUAUCCGGAUUUACUGGGUGUAAAGGGAGCGCAGGCGGCAGCGCAAGUCUGAUGUGAAAGCCCGGGGCCCACCCGCGGGCCUGCAUUGGAAAC
rnacentral:rRNA from 1 species